rnacentral:sRNA from 1 species
AGCGCCAGCGAGAGAACGUUGCCGCAGGCAACGGCCCGAAGGGCGAGGAGAGAUAGCGACGAGUUAUCCUUCCCCCACCACCA